CUUUUCAAAUAAGAGACCUGGGGGAUUUUAGAACAGGGUUUUCAAGGUAAUGGAGGAAGAGAAUCUUCUUUGGACUUCUUUUUGCUUCAGAUGUGGAGAAGGCAACUUCCCGGAGUCUCUACCAGUGAGAAGGCUACAGAAUCAUGGGUAGAUAAGGUGUCGCUCUGUGGCCAUAGCUCACUGCAGCCUCAAAUUCCUGCGCUCAAGUAAUCCUCCCACCUCAGCUUCCCAAGUAGAUGGGACUACAGGUAACAUUCUUCUACCAGGAAGAGGGAGAUUGACUAUUUUAUCAGUCAUUAAUUUUGCUCCAAAUAACCCCGUGAUUUUGGAUGAUUGAUUAUGGGAAUGCUG
rnacentral:lncRNA from 1 species